UGGAUAUUUACUAUUGCAGUGUUCAAUUUACUUUUUCCGUUCACUACGUUAUCUAUUUUGUUUGGUUUCUUUACCUUCUUGCAUUUCCAUUUUCCUCACUUGGUUUAGAGAUAGUUUGGUCUCAAUGUAGAAUCGUUCGGUCAUCUGUAGGACCGUUCGAUCUUCAUGCUUUGUCCAUUUAUUUCAAAGUUUUCAAGUAUGUUUGGUUGCUUUUAAUUUUCAGUUUUAAUUUAAUUUAAUUUUCCUUGUAAAACCUUCCACAACCCCCGC
rnacentral:lncRNA from 1 species